GAUGAAGAACGUAGUGAAAUGCGAUAAGUAAUGUGAAUUGCAGAAUUCAGUGAAUCAUCGAAUCUUUGAACGCACAUUGCGCCCCUUGGUAUUCCGAGGGGCAUGCCUGUUCGAGCGUCAUUAUAACCCCUCAAGCUCAGCUUGGUGUUGGGGCCUGCUGCACUGGCAGCCCUUAAAAUCAGUGGCGGCGCCAUCUGGCUCUAAGCGUAGUAAUUCUUCUCGCUAUGGAGUCCUGGUGGGUGCUUGCCAUCAACCCCCAAUUUUUCUAUGGUUGACCUCGGAUCAGGUAGGGAUACCCGCUGAACUUAAGCAUAUCAAUAAGCGGAGGA
rnacentral:misc_RNA from 1 species